GGCUGUGUGGCUCAGUGGCAGAGCACUUGCCUAGCAAGUGUGAGGCACUGGGUUCGAACCUCAGCACCA
rnacentral:tRNA from 1 species